UUGAGAACGGGGUGGGGGUGGGGAGGCGUGUGGCCGGUCCCUUUUUUGACAGAUUUCAAGACAACCUCCCUGCUCCUGUUCUCUCUGUUACCAUACUCGCUCAUCUGUUCGCGGGCUGCUAAAGUAGUUAUGUGGCGUGGCCUCUUAACCUCAUUUCUGCAGCGGACUAGCCAGGCUUAGGAGGCAGCACUUUUUGAGGGUCCCUCCCUUUAUGCCACGUGUCCUCAAAAUUACAGAAAUCCUCGGGCAUCUACUCUAGCUCCUGAUCGCUCUCUCUCGAGACAGAAAAUGAAUCCAGAGUCCCUGUUCAAAGCAUCCUGGUAUUAUAAUUGUGUGCAAUGGCCUAUGGCAAUCUGGUGUCUGGGGAAUGCAAAGAAAGACUUCGAAAUCUUCCAGAAAAAAGACCUCUUACUGCAAGAUCCAGGGCUGCAGACUUGGAUUGAAAUAUAAUUUUAAAAGGGAUGUCUCUCUCCAGAGACAAAGAGGAAGAAUUUUAUGCAGAAUGGCUUCCCUCCUGCCCAGAUACCAUACAAGAAGAUUCAGAGAAGAUUUCAUUAUAUCUCACCAUGGACUAACUUACAGAACUCUUAACUCCCCUGUAUAUAAUUUUGGAGAAUCCACAGGACCCAUAUGGACUGAAACACUGGACCCUUUUGGUUUAGUUUUGUUUAAAACCCAGAGAGGUAAAAAUGUAACAUCCUUUGUGUUAAUGUAUCACAUUGCUGCUGACUGAAUAUGCAUGGAGUAACCAAUAAAUGACCUAUUUUAAAAAAUAAUCAAUAUCAUCUUUAGAAAAAUUGGCUGAUAGGGGUACAAAACCAGCUGUACUGAAUAGUGCAGUUCAGUAUCAAGUUCUCAGACAGCAUUUUUUUUAUUUGGGGGGGGGGUAUAAGAAUGUUAAAUAUGGCUAUUCCUCUGAUAGCCCAUCAUUAGUUCACCAGACACAAGUUUAGAUUCCAUUUCAGAGCAGUUGAUGCAUUCACAGGCACAGAAGUCAUCACAACGCAGUAUCUGAGAGCAGAAUGAACCGAACAGACUUUGGCUAGUGGUCAGAACUUGUAUCUUAGAAUGCACUGUAUAAGUCAAAAUGUUCCAAUGACACUUCAUUAGGAACACUGCCUAGAAGGAUUUUUUUUUAAUUGCUUGUGGUAGGGCCAGGCAUGGUCCAAGCAGCUGGAGUCCCCAACUGAGCAGAGAAACCUUCUCUGAACUUUCAGGUUUAUUUUAUAGCUUUUUUUUCUAGUGCAACUGAAGUAAACCCCAGGAUACCCAUGCCACUGUCUGAAAUGAAAAAUGAAAACUCUGAAGAAAGAACUUGAAUAAUACUAACUGAAGUUUUUACCUAGGGUUUGUAGCAUAUUGGAUUAAAUGAUUUCAUUGCAUAUUCCAUAGUACAGAAAUUAGAUAAGAGAAACAGUAAUAAUAAAAGUAUAAAGGGGAUAAGUUGUGCAUGUGUUUGGAUAUUUGUGUCUCUUUACUGACUAUUUUAGGUUAGAUUUCCUUUGAUUUUUUAUGUCUAUUUUUGUACUAAUUUUACUAAAUUUUUCAAAGGCCUUCAAGACGUAGGGAACUCUAGAAAUAAACAUUUUUUGUUAUUACAGAAAUUCAAGGGCCACAUGCUCUUCUCCUGUGGCUUCACCUCGGAAAUGGAAAAUCUGCUCAAAAACCUUUAGUAACUUACUGAAUUUCUACCACAAGUCCCUUGCAUGUUACCUAGAAAUAGCUUGUACUAAGCUGAUGCCUAUUGCAGAUCAUGAGAUCCGUUUCCACCUAUAAAUAGGGAAGUCGGCACAUCAGAGGCAACUUGACAGACUGGCACAACUCUAAUUCUCCUCCCAUCCCUAAAGCAGCCAGUGAAAGCCUUGCUGUGCUGAACAUUUCUUGGUAAAGAAAGCAAACAGGUGAAAGGCUCGGCUCCAUUUGAAAGACGUUAAAUGUAAGAUCAUCCUCAUGUUAAUAUUGCUAAUGCCUGCAGUUUCCCAAUCAGACCCCUCCCUCUGUUUGAUGAAGGGAUUGGGUGAAUGACUAAAUGGAUACCCUCUGAACUCCUGUAUCAACUUGGGCUGUUGGAGAAUGCAGUGAGAAGAAAUAGUUAUGCCCCCUUGCAAUGCUGAGACUUGUUUAUGGUAUAGGUAUAUCGUUUUUUUCUCCAAUACUGAUUAUAGCAAUUGCAAUGUUUUAUUAUUUUAUUUCCUUCCCAGUGCAGGAAGCAGGGCAAGAAUUAUUUUCAUGAGGAAAAGGAGAUUUCAGUGAAGAUUUACAGUCAAGCAGGUGAAAGUUGGAAAGCAAAAUAUUCCUCGUUCCUGCUAGUAAUGACUCAAGAACCAAAAUCAGAGGUGAAUAAAGGCUUGUGUGCGAUGAGCUUGUUUCGCAUGUCCAUCUCUGUGGCAAUCCACAAAGGCUAUUCAUUCUUGUAGAGCUCACACUUUUAGCUCUGGAGGUCCUGGGUUCAAUCCAUGGUGUGUCAAACCACCACAUUUGCAAACAAAAUAAUUAAGAUUAUGCAGAACAAAACUGUUCCUGGUUUUUCAAAAAAGGAGGGGAUGUGAAAGACAUUAGCAUCCAAUCUCCCAAAUAUUGAAUUGAGAAUGAAAAUGGUGACAAGUCGUUGCAAAUAGUAAAGCUAGUAUGCGCACCAUUACACUGAAGAGGAAAAAGAAGGAAGACUGCCGCGAUUAGACGUCUGUAUAACCAGACGAACAGCCUGAAUUGUAGCAGGCACUGUUUACGAAAAUGAAACAAACACAGACCAGUUUGAUUCACAUGCCUCAAUAAGCGCAAAAACAUUUGUAACAAGGAGCCUUACAAACUGAGCAAUUAGUGCUAUGGAAACAUCCUGUGCCUUAUGAGCUCAAUAGGAUCGCAAACUCAGUGAAACGCAAUGAGCAUUCAGUCUCGCCUGGACACCAAAGCAGGCCAUGCUUUCAAUUCCCUAACAAGCAACAAUGGAAAAAUCAACAACCAACCAUGUCUGACAUUCCCACUACAGCUGGCAUCUGCAAAACAGGCCAAUAAAUGCUUGAGCAAAACUAUAUAAAAGCCAAAGAGAGAGGCCCAGCAAGACCAUUCUAAAAACUUUGAGAGUUUCACAUCAGACCAAUGCAAAAGGUUUACAGAAAAAUUGUGUUACAUUUUCGUAAGAAAAAGUAUAAAAAUAACAUCAGUAAUGGAUAUCCAGUUACUGGACUAUAUUGCUAGCAAGUAUAUCUAUCUAUCUAUUUAUAAGCACAUCUUACAAUAUUAUAGCAUUAUGUAAACCUGGGAGCCUCUUUCAUAUUGUUCUACUCAGAGGUGCGUUUAAUUUCAUGCAAUGGUCUAGUGCAGUGCUUCUCAAACUCUUUCAUACUAUUAAUCAUUUCUUAAGAUAAAGAUCAUCUUGAGGAUCACCUACCCACUUACAUCAGAUCCCCAUACCUCCCAGCAGCACCUAUAGUGCUGGAUUACAUGAAAAUGUGAUAAAGGCAAUCUUAAGGAGCCAGAGGAAAAUAAACUCACUUUCAUGCAAUAAGUGCAGCUGCUAGGUAAUAUCUCUGCAUUUUGUAUUUGUGCUGUUUAAUUCCUGUCCAUGGGUAUAGAGCUUUCCAUUUAUUACUACUGUUCUCUCCUCGUUACUUGCAAUUCCAACUGCUUUUGGUUCUAGCCUCCUAGUUUGGUGUCCUCUGCAGAUUUGAUCACAAUUGAAUGAACAGCAGUCACCCGCCAUAGAAAGACAUGAAGCAGCUGUAUAAAAGAAACUUGUUUUUUGCUGUUCUUUAUUAUAGGUUCAGUUAGUCAAAUAAAAGCUCAGAGUUCUAGAACAGACUACAAUUAGCAGCAACUAUCACUGGUUGAAGAGCGAUGUUUGCUUCACCUUAGUGACAGAAGUAAUGCUGCAGAUCACAUGGGAGUGCUCUGUGGAUCACCACUGGAGAGCCCAGCUACUGGUCUAAUAGAGCAGACUGCUGUAUGUCAGAACUUGUGGGUCCAACUCUCAACUCUCCCUCGCCGUGUGGCCUACACAUGUUUACCUACCACUCAGGGGUGUUAUGAGAAUUAAUUAAUUGGUUGAGAAGAGUUUUAAGAUCACAUAGUGAAAGGUUUUCAUAUAUGCUAAGUAUUAUAAAUCUAUCUCAGUUAAAUGCAAUCAGUUUACUAUUUAUCUGCCUUUAUUUCCAAACUAGCUUAUAGAUCCCAUGGUAAUCAUUACAU